CGCCUCUGUGUCCUCCGUCCAUCGCACCGUCUGGGAGGGUAUCCAGUUCUUCUGGCUGGAGAAUGGAGUAUUGAGGGGGAAACUACUUCCCCGCCCUAAAACUAAAACCCACACCGAGUAUUCUGCCACUGGAGUAGGUGAAGAGGCUUAUCUGCGCUUCGGAGGUAAAAGACAUGGCUGAAUUUGUCAUCAGACAGCUGUCGAUUUCCAGUUCUGUCUAGACUGUUUCCAUGGAAACCGAUACUGUUCGGAACCAGAACCCGAAGACUGAAUGAAGACUAUGAUUCUGAAAACACCCUCAACAACAACAGCUCUAUUACCAUACAGGCCACAGUACAGGCACAGAGACUGACGGGUGUUCCUGAUAACACUGUCACAUGACUGGAAGACACAAAAGGAUGCUAUCUAUCAGAUGGGAAGCAGAAGGCACAAGCUGUGGUUUUGUCAACGGACAGUCUCAACUGUUCCACAGAGAUAGGAACACACACACACACACACCGCAUGCCUUCCUGUGGCUUCCUGUGCAUUUAGCAACAUUUCAGGAAACUGCCA
rnacentral:lncRNA from 1 species